rnacentral:rRNA from 3 species
GGACUACACGGGUUUCUAAUCCCGUUUGCUCCCUAGCUUUCGCGCCUCAGCGUCAGAAGAGGUUCAGGAGCUCGCUUUCGCCACCGGAAUUCCUUCCAAUAUCAACGUAUUUCACCGCUCCACUGGAAGUUCCAGCUCCCCCUACCUCCCUCCAGCCGAUCAGUAUCCCAGGCACUUUUCCGGUUAAGCCGAAAGAUUUCACCCCAGACUUGAUCGACCGCCUACGCGCCCUUUAAGCCCAGUGAUUCCGAACAACGUUCGCACGGUUCGUCUUACCGCGGCUGCUGGCAC